rnacentral:rRNA from 1 species
UACGUAGGGGGCAAGCGUUGUCCGGAAUCAUUGGGCGUAAAGAGCGUGUAGGCGGUUCGAUAAGUCUGCUGUGAAAGUCCAGGGCUCAACCCUGGGAUGCCGGUGGAUACUGUCGGGCUAGAGUACGGAAGAGGCGAGUGGAAUUCCCGGUGUAGCGGUGAAAUGCGCAGAUAUCGGGAGGAACACCGGUGGCGAAGGCGGCAUCCUGGACCGGUAUUGACGCUGAGGCGCGAAAGCCAGGGGAGCAAACGGG